GACGAACCGUCCAAACGUUAUUCGGAAUUACUGGGCUUAAAGGGUACGUAGGCGGCGCGGAAAGUUGGGUGUGAAAUCCCUCGGCUCAACCGAGGAACUGCGCCCAAUACUACCGUGCUUGAGGGAGAUAGAGGUGAGCGGAACUUAGGGUGGAGCGGUGAAAUGCGUUGAUAUCCUAAGGAACACCGGUGGCGAAAGCGGCUCACUGGAUCUCUUCUGACGCUGAGGCACGAAAGCUAGGGUAGCGAACGGG
rnacentral:rRNA from 1 species